rnacentral:rRNA from 1 species
AGCGAACGCUGGCGGCAGGCUUAACACAUGCAAGUCGAGCGGGCGUAGCAAUACGUCAGCGGCAGACGGGUGAGUAACGCGUGGGAACAUACCUUUUGGUUCGGAACAACACAGGGAAACUUGUGCUAAUACCGGAUAAGCCCUUACGGGAAAGAUUAUCGCCGAAGAUUGGCCCGCGUCUGAUUAGCUAGUUGGGGAGGUAACGGCUCACCAAGGCGACGAUCAGUAGCUGGUCNGAGAGGAUGAUCAGCCACAUUGGGACUGAGACACGGCCCAAACU